UCCAGACUCCUACGGGAGGCAGCAGUGGGGAAUAUUGGGCAAUGGGCGCAAGCCUGACCCAGCAACGCCGCGUGAAGGAGGAAGGCUUUCGGGUUGUAAACUUCUUUUAACAGGGAAGAGCAGAAGACGGUACCUGUUGAAUAAGCCACGGCUAACUACGUGCCAGCAGCCGCGGUAAUACGUAGGUGGCAAGCGUUGUCCGGAUUUACUGGGUGUAAAGGGCGUGCAGCCGGGUUUAUAAGUCAGAUGUGAAAUCCCGCGGCUCAACCGCGGAACUGCAUUUGAAACUGUAGAUCUUGAGUACUGGAGAGGCAGGCGGAAUUCCUAGUGUAGCGGUGAAAUGCGUAGAUAUUAGGAGGAACACCAGUGGCGAAGGCGGCCUGCUGGACAGCAACUGACGGUGAGGCGCGAAAGCGUGGGGAGCAAACAGGAUUAGAUACCCGAGUA
rnacentral:rRNA from 1 species